rfam:Daucus carota subsp. sativus cultivar DH1 chromosome 7, whole genome shotgun sequence.
AUUAAUGUGGUGAUGAGGCUUAUGUGGACUAGAGUUUCUGAAUCUUGGGGCUUAAUCUCCCUGGGUUCUGUAGACAACCCCUUGGCUGUCUGAGCAUUUUU